rnacentral:rRNA from 1 species
AUGAACGCUUGCGGCGUGCUUCACACAUGCAAGUCGAACGAUGAAGCCCAGCUUGCUGGGUGGAUUAGUGGCGAACGGGUGAGUAACACGUGAGUAACCUGCCCUUGACUCUGGGAUAAGCCUGGGAAACUGGGUCUAAUACUGGAUAUGACUUCUCAUCGCAUGGUGGGGGGUGGAAAGAUUUAUUGGUCUUGGAUGGACUCGCGGCCUAUCAGCUUGUUGGUGAGGUAAUGGCUCACCAAGGCGACGACGGGUAGCCGGCCUGAGAGGGUGACCGGCCACACUGGGACUGAGACACGGCCCAGACUCCUACGGGAGGCAGCAGUGGGGAAUAUUGCACAAUGGGCGCAAGCCUGAUGCAGCGACGCCGCGUGAGGGAUGACGGCCUUCGGGUUGUAAACCUCUUUCAGUAGGGAAGAAGCGAGAGUGACGGUACCUGCAGAAGAAGCGCCGGCUAACUACGUG